rnacentral:rRNA from 1 species
UGGGGAAUCUUGCGCAAUGGGCGAAAGCCUGACGCAGCCAUGCCGCGUGAAUGAUGAAGGUCUUAGGAUUGUAAAAUUCUUUCACCGGGGACGAUAAUGACGGUACCCGGAGAAGAAGCCCCGGCUAACUUCGUGCCAGCAGCCGCGGUAAUACGAAGGGGGCUAGCGUUGCUCGGAAUUACUGGGCGUAAAGGGAGCGUAGGCGGACAUUUAAGUCAGGGGUGAAAUCCCGGGGCUCAACCUCGGAAUUGCCUUUGAUACUGGGUGUCUUGAGUGUGAGAGAGGUAUGUGGAACUCCGAGUGUAGAGGUGAAAUUCGUAGAUAUUCGGAAGAACACCAGUGGCGAAGGCGACAUACUGGCUCAUUACUGACGCUGAGGCUCGAAAGCGUGGGGAGCAAACAGGAUUAGAUACCCUGGUAGUCCACGCCGUAAACGAUGAUUGCUAGUUGUCGGGAUGCAUGCAUUUCGGUGACGCAGCUAACGCAUUAAGCAAUCCGCCUGGGGGAGUACGGUCGCAAGAUUAAAACUCAAAUGAAUUGACGGGGUCAUAGCUGUUUCCUG